rnacentral:misc_RNA from 1 species
GAUGAAGAACGUAGUGAAAUGCGAUAAGUAAUGUGAAUUGCAGAGUUCAGUGAAUCAUCGAAUCUUUGAACGCACAUUGCGCCCGUCAGUAUUCUGACGGACAUGCCUGUCCGAGCGUCAUUUCAACCCUCAAGCACUGCUUGGCGUUGGCGGAUUGCGUGCCCUCGCGGCGCUGCAACCGCCCAAAUACAGUGGCGGUCCCGCUGCGGCUCCCUUUGCGUAGUAACUCACCUCGCACUGGACCGGGCGGCGGCCUGCCGUAAAACCCCAACUCACGAAAUGUUGACCUCGGAUCAGGUAGGAAUACCCGCUGAACUUAAGCAUAUCAAUAAGCGGAGGA